rnacentral:tRNA from 1 species
GGGGGUGUAGCUCAGCUGGGAGCACUUGCCUUGCACGCAAGGGGUCAGGAGUUCGAUCCUCCUCAUCUCCACCA